rnacentral:rRNA from 1 species
UGCGCAGGCGGCCGUGUGUGUCAGGUGUGAAAUCCCGGGGCUUAACCCCGGAACUGCGCCUGAAACUACAUGGCUAGAGUAUUGGAGAGGGUAGCGGAAUUCACGGUGUAGCAGUGAAAUGCGUAGAUAUCGUGAGGAACACCAGAGGCGAAGGCGGCUACCUGGACAAUUACUGACGCUCAGGCACGAAAGCGUGGGGAGCAAAAGGGAUUAGAUACCCCUGUAGUCCACGCCCUAAACGGUGCACACUAGGUCUUGGCGGAUUUGACCCCACCAGGGCCCAAGCUAACGCGUUAAGUGUGCCGCCUGAGGACUACGGCCGCAAGGCUAAA